rnacentral:rRNA from 1 species
UACGGAAGGCAGCAGUGGGGAAUAUUGCACAAUGGGCGAAAGCCUGAUGCAGCUAUGCCGCGUGUAUGAAGAAGGCCUUAGGGUUGUAAAGUACUUUCAUCGGGGAGGAAAACAAAACUAAUAAUUUUAUUUCUUGACGUUACCCGAAAAAGAAGCACCGGCUAACUCCGUGCCAGCAGCCGCGGUAAUACGGAGGGUGCUAGCGUUAAUCAGAAUUACUGGGCGUAAAGAGCACGUAGGUGGUUUUUUUAAAGUCAGAUGUGAAAUCCCCUGGGCUUAACCUAGGAACUGCAUUUUUGAAACUGAAAUACUAGAGUAUCGUAGAGGGAGGUAGAAUUCUAGGUGUAGCGGUGAAAUGCGUAGAUAUCUGGAGGAAUACCUGUGGCGAAAGCGGCCUCCUAAACGAAUACUGACACUGAGGUGCGAAAGCGUGGGGAGCAAAACAGGGAUUAGAUACC